CAGCAGCCGCGGUAAUACAGAGGAUGCAAGCGUUAUCCGGAAUGAUUGGGCGUAAAGGGAGCGCAGGCGGGCAUGUAAGUCUUUCUUAAAAGUUCGGGGCUCAACCCCGUGAUGGGAAAGAAACUACAUGUCUUGAGUACAGGAGAGGAAAGCGGAAUUCCCAGUGUAGCGGUGAAAUGCGUAGAUAUUGGGAGGAACACCAGUGGCGAAGGCGGCUUUCUGGACUGCAACUGACGCUGAGGCUCGAAAGCCAGGGGAGCGAACGGGAUUAGAUACCCCAGUAGUCCCUGUCUCUUAUACA
rnacentral:rRNA from 1 species